rnacentral:rRNA from 1 species
CCCCUUCCAGAGUAUCAAUUGGGAGGGCAAGUCUGGUGCCAGCAGCCGCGGUAAUUCCAGCUCCAAUAGCGUAUAUUAAACUUGUUGCAGUUAAAAAGCUCGUAGUUGAAUUUCUGCUGCAUCGUGGUUCUUCGCUAUGUCGAGUGAUCUUCGUUGUGGCUUAGUUGGGGCAUGUUUUCAUGACUCGACGUUUACUUUGAGAAAAUUAGAGUGCUUC